GGCGGUGUAAAAUGAGCGUGCGUCCUAUUAGCUAGUUGGUGAGGUAAUGGCUCACCAAGGCUGCGAUGGGUAGGGGUUCUUAGUGGAAGGUCCCCCACACUGGCACUGAGAUACGGGCCAGACUCCUACGGGAGGCAGCAGUAGGGAAUAUUGGUCAAUGGGCGCAAGCCUGAACCAGCCAUGCCGCGUGCAGGAUGAAGGUUCUCUGAAUUGUAAACUGCUUUUGUACAGGAGCAAAAAAAUCCCUGUGGGGGUUCUUGAGCGUACUGUAAGAAUAAGCACCGGCUAAUUCCGUGCCAGCAGCCGCGGUAAUACGGGAGGUGCAAGCGUUAUUCGGUUUUAUUGGGUUUAAAGGGUGCGUAGGCGGCUUAUUAAGUCAGUUGUGAAAUCCUAGUGCUUAACGCUAGAACUGCAAUUGAUACUAUUAGGCUUGAGUUAAGAAUAGGU
rnacentral:rRNA from 1 species